rnacentral:rRNA from 1 species
UUAAGCUACUAAGAGCGUAGGGUGAAUGCCUUGGCACCAAGAGCCGAUGAAGGACGUGAUAAGCUGCGAAAAGCUGUGAGUAGGAGCAAAUAUCCAUUUAAUCACAGAUGUCCGAAUGAGGAAACUCAGGUCGUGGAAAAAGACGACCUAUCUAUACAUGAGUAAAGUAGUGUAUAGAGGGGAACGUGGGGAACUGAAACAUCUAAGUACCCACAGGAAAAGAAAGAAAACUCGAUUCCUAAAGUAGUGGCGAGCGAAAUAGGAAGAGCCUAAACCAGAAGAAGUAAUUCAUCUGGGGUUAUGGACUACAUAAUUGAUUCAAGAGAUUUAGCAGAAUUGUUUGGAAAGACAGACCAAAGAUAGUGAAAGUCUAGUAUGCGAAAAAUCAAUUGACAUGGUAGUAUCCGGAGUAGUGCGAGACACGUGAAAUCUCGUAUGAAGAUUGGGGGACCACCCCCAAAGGCUAAAUACUACUUGGUGACCGAUAGUGAAGCAGUACCGUGAGGGAAAGGUGAAAAGAACCCCGGGAGGGGAGUGAAAAAGAACCUGAAACCCUAUGUUUACAAGCAGAUAGAGCACGUUAAGGUGCGAUAUCGUACUUUUUGUAGAACGGUCCGGCGAGUUAUUUUAUAUGGCAAGAUUAAGUACUUAAGGUACGAAGUCGAAGAGAAAUCGAGUCUGAAAAGGGCGAAAAAGUCAUAUGAAAUAGACCCGAAACCGAGUGACCUAUCCAUGGUCAGGAUGAAGCUUGAGUAAAAUCAAGUGGAGGUCCGAACUCAUAAGCGUUAAAAAGCUUCGGGAUGAACUGUGGAUAGCGGAGAAAUUCCAAUCGAACUCGGAGAUAGCUGGUUCUCCUCGAAAUAGUUUUAGGACUAGCCUUGUUAAGUAGUAUAUGGGGGUAGAGCACUGAAGGAGCUAGGGGCCAAACCAGGUUACUGAACUCUAUCAAACUCCGAAUACCAUAUACGUAAAAACAGGAGUCAGACUGCGGGAGCUAAGUUCCGUGGUCAAAAGGGAAAGAGCCCAGAUCGUCAAUUAAGGUCCCAAAGAUAUAGUUAAGUGGAAAACGAUGUGAUUUUGCGUAAACAACCAGGAUGUUGGCUUAGAAGCAGCCAUUCAUUUAAAGAGUGCGUAAUAGCUCACUGGUCGAGUGAAGUUGCGCGGAAAAUUACCGGGGCUAAACUAUACACCGAAAUUGCGGAUUCAUGAGUAAUCAUGAGUGGUAGAGGAGCAUUCUGUUGUAGGAAGAAGUGUGAUCGAAAGGACAUGUGGACGAAGCAGAAGAGAGAAUGCCGGAAUAAGUAGCGAAAGCAUGGUGAGAAUCCAUGCCAUCGAAAGUCUAAGGUUUCCUGGGGAAGGUUCGUCCGCCCAGGGUAAGUCGGGACCUAAGGUGAGGCCGAAAGGCGUAGCCGAUGGACAGCAGGUAGAAAUUCCUGCACUACCGAAAUACUUAAAAGAUGCAAGGGACACAGGAGUGGAAGGAAAGCGAGGAAGAGGAAAGACUCGUAUCGAAAGAUAUAGUGAAAAUUAAAGUAACGAAUUUCCAAGAAGUACACUGGCGAGAAAAGCUUGUAGAUAUUGUAUAGAGGUACCCGUACCGCAAACCGACACAGGUAGAUGAGGAGAGGAUCCUAAGAUGAGCGAGAGAAGCAUUGUUAAGGAACUCGGCAAACCAACCCCGUAACUUAGGGAGAAGGGGUGCCUAUGUAAAAAUAGGCCGCAGAGAAGAGGCCCAAGCAACUGUUUAACAAAAACACAGGUUUCUGCUAAAUCGAAAGAUGAAGUAUAGGAGCUGACGCCUGCCCAGUGCUGGAAGGUUAAGGGAAAAUGUAAGUACAGAAGUAUGAAGCAUAGAACCAAAGCCCCAGUGAACGGCGGCCGUAACUAUAACGGUCCUAAGGUAGCGAAAUUCCUUGUCAGGUAAGUUCUGACCCGCACGAAAGGCGUAAUGAUUUGGGCGCUGUCUCGACAAUGUACUCGGCGAAAUUGUAGUACUAGUGAAGAUGCUAGUUACCUGCGACAAGACAGAAAGACCCCAUGGAGCUUUACUGUAGCUUGAUACUGGGUUUCGAUAAUUUAUGUACAGGAUAGGUGGGAUGCAAAGAAGCAAGUGCGCCAGCAUUUGUGGAGCAGACGUUGGGAUACCACCCUUAAGUUAUUGGAAUUCUAACCUGUAGUCAUGAACUGGCUAGGGGACAAUGUCAGGCGGGCAGUUUGACUGGGGCGGUCGCCUCCAAAAGAGUAACGGAGGCG